AGAGUUUGAUUCUGGCUCAGGAUGAACGCUGGCGGUAUGCUUAACACAUGCAAGUCGAACGGAGUUCUUCGGAACUUAGUGGCGGACGGGUGAGUAACGCGUGAGAAUCUGGCAAAAGGUUCGGGACAACAGUUGGAAACGACUGCUAAUACCGGAUGUGCCUGUGGGUGAAAGAUUAAUCGCCUUUUGAUGAGCUCGCGUCUGAUUAGCUAAUAGGUGUGGUAAGAGCGCACCUAGGCGACGAUCAGUAGCUGGUCUGAGAGGAUGACCAGCCACACUGGGACUGAGACACGGCCCAGACUCCUACGGGAGGCAGCAGUGGGGAAUUUUCCGCAAUGGGCGAAAGCCUGACGGAGCAAUACCGCGUGAGGGAGGAAGGCUCUUGGGUUGUAAACCUCUUUUCUCAGGGAAUAAGAAAGUGAAGGUACCUGAGGAAUCAGCAUCGGCUAACUCCGUGCCAGCAGCCGCGGUAAUA
rnacentral:rRNA from 1 species